GACGAACGCUGGCGGCGUGCUUAACACAUGCAAGUCGAACGGAAAGGCCCUGCUUUUGUGGGGUGCUCGAGUGGCGAACGGGUGAGUAACACGUGAGUAACCUGCCCUUGACUUUGGGAUAACUUCAGGAAACUGGGGCUAAUACCGGAUAGGAGCUCCUGCUGCAUGGGGGGGGUUGGAAAGUUUCGGCGGUUGGGGAUGGACUCGCGGCUUAUCAGCUUGUUGGUGGGGUAGUGGCUUACCAAGGCUUUGACGGGUAGCCGGCCUGAGAGGGUGACCGGCCACAUUGGGACUGAGAUACGGCCCAGACUCCUACGGGAGGCAGCAGUGGGGAAUAUUGCACAAUGGGCGGAAGCCUGAUGCAGCAAUGCCGCGUGCGGGAUGACGGCCUUCGGGUUGUAAACCGCUUUCGCCUGUGACGAAGCGUGAGUGACGGUAAUGGGUAAAGAAGCACCGGCUAACUACGUG
rnacentral:rRNA from 1 species